rnacentral:rRNA from 1 species
GAGCAGCACGCCGCGUGGAGGAUGACACUUUUCGGAGCGUAAACUCCUUUUCUUGGGAAAGAAAUAUGACGGUACCCAAGGAAUAAGCACCGGCUAACUCCGUGCCAGCAGCCGCGGUAAUACGGAGGGUGCAAGCGUUACUCGGAAUCACUGGGCGUAAAGGACGCGUAGGCGGAUUAUCAAGUCUCUUGUGAAAUCUAACGGCUUAACCGUUAAACUGCUUGGGAAACUGAUAAUCUAGAGUAAGGGAGAGGCAGAUGGAAUUCUUGGUGUAGGGGUAAAAUCCGUAGAGAUCAAGAAGAAUACCCAUUGCGAAAGCGAUCUGCUGGAACUUAACUGACGCUAAUGCGUGAAAGCGUGGGGAGCAAACA